ACUUGCCUUCUUUUAUCAUUCUUUUUCUUCUCUGCUUUUUCCCUUGCAUUAAAAUCUUCACCAUUUAUACUCCUUUCUUUACUAAAAUUCUCUUCCUUAGUCUGAUCAACCAUGCUCCUCUUCUCUACAAUAUUUUAAAGAUAACUCGAAACAUCCCUCAGGCAUUCGACUCACCAUCUCCAUGAGCUCUUUCUGGCCUCUGGCAACCUCUUGAGCUCUCGACGAUGGAGAAAGACUUCGAUAGUGGUUCUGGCGAUGUUGGGGACUUCUGGGUGGACUUGCUCUCCACAAAGGUGGGGAACAUAUCCCAG
rnacentral:misc_RNA from 1 species